GGCUGGUCCGAAAGCAGUGGUGUUCACAACUAAUUGAUCACAACCAGUUACAGAUUUCUUUGUUCCUUCUCCACUCCCACUGCUUCACUUGACCAGCCUAAA
ensembl:misc_RNA Y_RNA Y RNA